rnacentral:tRNA from 1 species
GGAGCGUUAGCAUAGUUGGUUAAUGCAUGUGCCUCAUAAGCAUAAGAUCACCCGUUCAAGUCGGGUACGCUCCA